UACGGGGGGAGCAAGCGUUGUUCGGAUUUACUGGGCGUAAAGGGCGCGUAGGCGGCGUGACAAGUCACUUGUGAAAUCUCCGGGCUUAACUCGGAAACGGUCAAGUGAUACUGUCGUGCUAGAGUACAGAAGGGGCAACUGGAAUUCUCGGUGUAGCGGUGAAAUGCGUAGAGUAUCAGGAGGAACACCGGUGGCGAAGGCGGGUCUCUGGGCCGUAACUGACGCUGAGGAGCGAAAGCGUGGGGAGCGAACAGG
rnacentral:rRNA from 1 species